rnacentral:rRNA from 1 species
UACGUAGGGUGCAAGCGUUGUCCGGAAUUAUUGGGCGUAAAGGGCUCGUAGGCGGUCCAUCGCGUCGGGAGUGAAAAGCUGGGGCUUAACCCCAGUCCUGCUUCCGAUACGGGUGGACUAGAGGUAGGUAGGGGAGAACGGAAUUCCUGGUGUAGCGGUGAAAUGCGCAGAUAUCAGGAGGAACACCGGUGGCGAAGGCGGCCAACUGGACGAAUACUGACGCUGAGACACGAAAGCGUGGGGAGCAAACAGG